CUGGGACAGGUAUCAUGUUGAAGGUCGCAUGUUUGACAUAACUUGAUUGUUGGUCAAAGUGGCAACGAAAGGUAUACCUGUGAUGUCUGUGUUCAACUUUUGGACGGAUGAGGGCAGUUUUUAAGUUAGUUCUUUUCUGCUGUAGUAUAAUUUUCCGCCAAAUUUAAUCACGUGACGUAAUUUCACGUUCGCGUAUUUUGAGCCUUAUUGCGAGCCGUCAGUCUCCAUGGGAACGCUGUACCGCCAUUGUUGUUGUUGACUUUCUCGGAGUUAAAUUACACAUCACACUCUCUUCUCCGUCUUCUAUCCUUUUCCUCUUGUCUUCGUAUCCAGAGUUUGUUCAAUAGACAGACGCAGCUCGCUUCUGCCUUCGUACGUUUUUGGGGAAGGGCAGAUUUUUUUUUUUUUAGAGCACGAUAGCCGCCUGCUAAAAUGGCGCCGGAGCUCCCGUUUACCUGCUGCUAGCAUGAAACAACAACAACAAAGAUGGUCAAAUGAACAAGUUGGUGCUGUCUCUUCACUGAGUUUUGUGUUCAAAUGGCGACAGUGGUUUUUGCCCCUAAUUGUUGGCUUGACGUCAUAGCAGACAGACGGCUCAUGCCGUGUUUUGACAAGUUGAGCCCCAACGACAACGGAAAAAAAAAAGAGAUUGACGUGAGCCCAGAAGACGAAAACCAACAACAACAAGCUCUUUGCUCUUCAAGCCAAGCAUCAGCUAUCUAUUUGUCCUGACCUCUGACACCAGCUAAAACAGAUGAGUGACAGUAAGUGUGAGUGGCAUCCAUAGCAGCCCAGGGGCCUCCAGAGACUUCUUUCCAAAAUUCACCUGACAUCAGUAAACACAAGCAAUCACAAGAAACGGUAAAUACAUCCUAGACAUGUGACCUUCAUGGAGGCAGAGAAUGAGUUCACACUUGGUCAGUUCUCAUCACUGGGAUCAAGCUUUAACCAUAGGGGGCUGAUCAAAACUAUCCAGUCAUCAAUCAGGAGUAGGCCUGAUUUGGGAAAACUCUUAAUUGCAAGGUUGUUCCUGUUUUGGGUUUAGCCGUGCCCCUUCCCGCCAUCAUUAUGAUCGGCAUUACGCUCUACAUGCUCGUCCUGGGCCUCGUCCUCUGGAUACGAUUCUGCCUCAAGGAGCGCUGCUCGCUGGCGUGUGAGUCGUGCUGUCCCAGCUUCUCCGUAUGGGAUCACUGUUUCAGACUAGCGCAGUCGUGUGACUGUCAGCCACUAACGGUGCGCUCGUGUCUGACGGAUAUCGGCUCGGUACCCUCGGUUUCCAAGUGGGAUUGCGCGUGCACGUGUCAGCCCCCUGAGUGCGAGUCGUGCAACUGUUUGUGCUUCGAGAUCCGCAUCAAGUAGUUCUGCACCACUCUCCAGACACACAACAAUUGAAAACAUUAAUUUAACACAACUGAACUCAACAUGUCAAAGAACAUUUGAAACUGUGGACUGAAUGACAUCCAUCAUUUUCUAAGCUGCUUAUCCCCACAAGGGUUGUGGGAGUGUUGGGGCCUAUCCCAGCUCUCAUUGGGAAGGAGGUGCGGUACACCCUACACUGGUUGCCAGCCAAUCGCAGGGCACAUGGAGAUAAACAACCACCCACACGCACAUUCACACCUAAGAGCAAUUUUGGGGUCUCCAAUUAAUGCCUGUUUUUGGGAUCUGGGAGGAAACCGGUGUGGCCGGACAGAACCCACACAAGCACGGGUAGAACAUGCAAACUCCACACAGGGAUAGGAACCCCGGUCCUCAGAACUGUGAGGUCAACGCCCUAACCAGACGCUCCACCGUGCUGCCUGGACUGAAUGCAUUUAACCCAAUUUCCAAGUGUAUUAAACAGAAAUGGACUGAAGUGAACCUUGAGCAGAAUACCUGUUCAAGAACGUUGA